GAGAGAGAGAAGGAGCCUGGCUGCCAGGAAUGUUAGAGCAGCAAGCCUCCCCAGGAGGAGUGGCAGUACGCUCUCCCACAAGAACAUUUUCAGAGCCUUGAGACAUCCUCUCUCUCUCUGAAACAGCCUCCAGCUUGGUCAGCAGCUGCCUAGGAAUGCCUGAAGCAGGUCAGCUCCUUCCCUUCAUUCCCACAAGAACCACUUUUCUCACAGGGACAGAAAGAUCUGCAAAUAUACUGCUUGGGAAAGGCGCUGAACUGACAGCUGAGGAGACUGAAAUCCUGCGUUAAUCCACAGAACAGGGAUGGCACAGACAAGAGUAGUGGAGUUUUCCCAGUAGCCUCACAAAUGUGCAUCAACCCUGGGGGAACAGCUUCUAGAGAAUAAUGGGUAGUUCAGUCUCCAUGUCCAUUCUCUCUCCUUUGCUUGUACGAGGCUGAAGAACAUUGCUCCGCUGUCAGUUGCAUACCAAAAAUACAACUUUUAUAAAUUAAAAUAUAAUACCACCUGACUGCAAAAACAAGAACUGAAGGACAUCUCACUUGAUCUUUCUACUGUGAGAGACCCAGUUCUUAGAAGUGGAAU